CUAAAAAGGAUUCUAUCAGUAAUGGCGAGUGAAUGGCGAUGAGCUCACAUUGGAAAUCGGGGCCUCUUUGGCCUUGAAUUGUAGCCUCGAGGUGUGCUACCAGUGGAGGCGCAGAUGUUGGCCUCUUGGAAGAGAGCAUCAGUGAGGGUGAGAGUCCCGUCUGUCUUUCGCAGCCCUCCGCGCACGGUGCCCUUUCUGCGAGUCAUGCUCCUUGGAAUUGGAGUGUAAAAAAGGUGGUAAAUUUCAUCUCAAGCUAAAUAUCUGAUCGAGACCGAUAGAAAACAAGUACCAUGAGGGAAAGAUGAAAAGGACUUUGAAAAGAGAGUUAGAAGUGCCUGAAAUUGCUGAAAAUGAAGAGAAUGGAAUUAGCACAGCUUUGCGAGAUUGUCACGUGGUAAAGUUCACCAGCGACACGUGUUGCUUCUUGCCUCGCGCGUCCACUCCAGCUUGUGGCCGAGGAAACCGCACGGGACAUGGUGUUCAGCUUGCGGGCGGGCAAGUGUCCUCUGCAGAACUCGCUCAUGAACUGAAGUUUGCUUGUCCAGUUGCAGCGUCUUGGUCUCUAUGAGCCUGGACGUUCUUCCUGGCAUUGGGACGAUGAACUGGUUCCUUUCAACCCGUCUUGAAACACGGACCAAGGAGUUUAACGUAUGUGCGAGUCCACGAGUGGUGAACGCUUGCUGGCAGAGUGAAAGCAACUGCUGGGAUGUGUGCGUCAGCAGCCAACCUAUUGAUUGAGACAGGCUUGAGAUCGAGCACAUCUGUUAGGACCCGAAAGAUGGUGAACUAUGCUUGAGAAGGGCAAAGUCAGGGGAAACUCUGAUGGAGGCUUGUAACGAUACUGACGUGCAAAUCGUUCGUCGCACUUGGGUAUAGGGGCGAAAGACUAAUCGAACCAUCUAGUAGCUGGUUCCUUCCGAAGUUUCCCUCA
rnacentral:rRNA from 1 species